UACAGAGGGUGCGAGCGUUAAUCGGAAUUACUGGGCGUAAAGCGUGCGUAGACGGCUAUCUAAGUUCGUUGUGAAAGCCCCGGGCUCAACCUGGGAACUGCAAUGGAAACUGGCGGGCUUGAGUGUGGCAGAGGGGGGUGGAAUUCCGCGUGUAGCAGUGAAAUGCGUAGAGAUGCGGAGGAACACCGAUGGCGAAGGCAGCCCCCUGGGCCAACACUGACGCUCAGGCACGAAAGCGUGGGGAGCAAACAGG
rnacentral:rRNA from 1 species